UAGUCCACACAGUAAACGAUGAAUACUCGCUGUUUGCGAUAUACAGUAAGCGGCCAAGCGAAAGCAUUAAGUAUUCCACCUGGGGAGUACGCCGGCAACGGUGAAACUCAAAGGAAUUGACGGGGGCCCGCACAAGCGGAGGAACAUGUGGUUUAAUUCGAUGAUACGCGAGGAACCUUACCCGGGCUUAAAUUGCACCUGAAUAAUGUGGAAACAUGUUAGCCGUAAGGCAGGUGUGAAGGUGCUGCAUGGUUGUCGUCAGCUCGUGCCGUGAGGUGUCGGCUUAAGUGCCAUAACGAGCGCAACCCUUAUCUUCAGUUACUAACAGGUCAUGCUGAGGACUCUGGAGAGACUGCCGUCGUAAGAUGUGAGGAAGGUGGGGAUGACGUCAAAUCAGCACGGCCCUUACGUCCGGGGCUACACACGUGUUACAAUGGGAGGUACAGAAGGCCGCUACCUGGCGACAGGAUGCCAAUCCCCAAAACCUCUCUCAGUUCGGAUCGAAGUCUGCAACCCGACUUCGUGAAGCUGGAUUCGCUAGUAAUCGCGCAUCAGCCAUGGCGCGGUGAAUACGUUCCCGGGCCUUGCACUCACCGCCCGUC
rnacentral:rRNA from 1 species